CCUUUAUUUCUUGUCAAUUUGUAACCUCACGUGGGAUGAUUACUUCCAUUCAACCUUCUGGUUGUUUUCCGUUACAAUUAUACUUCUUUAUUGCUUAGGAACAAGAGUGUGCUUUAAAUAGUGCACUUUUUUUUUUAAGAAUAACUACUGUAGCAGGGUUUUGUUGUUGCUAGAAUGCUAGGAUUAAAUAACUUUGUAUUCUAGUCGUUGUUAGGACUCACUGUAUUUUAGUUGUUUUUAAGACUCACUCUAUAAAUAGCAUGUGUUCUCUAUUUUAUCACGGUGAGGAUUCAUAUUUUGUUGCCUGGUAUGCUGGAAAGUUCCAAGAGAGUUCUGCAAAACUCAUGUUAGAAUCAUUCCAAUACCAUCGUAGUUUUCCCUUUUCGAAUUUCCUUUAGUUGAACGUCUUGCUUGAUAUUUUAAUUUGAAGUACUUGGUUCAGUUUUCCUUUUGAAACAAAAGUUGAAAGUAUUUUCCUUUCCUUCUUGUUCAUCUCUAGGUGACAUUUUUAUUGCUAUCUUUUUGCACUUGAAAGGUGAUCCAGCCUGAGCAUGAAGCGGAAAUAUCUAAAGAAGGAGCAUGAAAGAUCGUCGCCGUGAGGUACGGCUGGCAUGAUUCAUCCUCAAUUGCAACAUCCUUUCGAAGUAGAAUUCUACCCAUAGGCAAAGAAAUGAAUGCGGAGGAAACAGACCCACCUAACUUAUAGGUCCCUGGUUGAUAAAAUGAUAAAGCGAUGUUGUGCUCCUCCAGGCCUCUUCAGCGCCGAGCAACCUAACCAUCUCGGCUAGCCGUCUGCCAUCAGCAUGCCCCGCUCCUCCUCGGUUCCUCAAGAUCAUUGCCUGCGUCCAUAACCAUGGCCAGCCAUUGCCUACAGUUUAAGCUUUGCACACGAAAUCUGCACAUAGUUUAUUUGUAGCAGGCCUUGAUGGUUUGUUUCCCUUUUAGAUCUGUUGAGGAGUGGAAAAUGGAAGGGUUUUUUACAAUGUGCAGAAGCUUCGGAUAUUCUUCGGUGAGAGGAAACCCAGCGUAUCUUCUGUGGUUGAUGUCUGUACACCCCUUUUUUUGUAUACUGAUGUUACUUCAGUUUUAGUUGACCGAUUUGUUUUGAAUCAGCCAGUUCUGUCUAAUAUUAACAUAGAGCAGGCAUUAUCUUCGA